rnacentral:rRNA from 1 species
AGUGAACGUUGGCGGCGUGGAUUAGGCAUGCGAGUCGAGCGAGAACCGUAGCAAUACGGGGACAGCGGCGAAAGGGACAGUAAUAUGUAGGUACCUACCCUCGGGUCCGGGAUAGCUGCGGGAAACUGCAGGUAAUACCGGAUGACAUCUCCGGAUCAAAGGUGUGAUUCCGCCCGGGGAGGGGCCUGCAUCCUAUUAGCUAGUUGGCGGGGUAACGGCCCACCAAGGCGACGAUGGGUAGCGGGUGUGAGAGCACGACCCGCGUCAUUGGGACUGAGACACUGCCCAGACACCUACGGGUGGCUGCAGUCGAGAAUCUUCGGCAAUGGGGGAACCCCUGACCGAGCGACGCCGCGUGCGGGAUGAAGGCCUUCGGGUUGUAAACCGCUGUCGUAGAGGAGGAAAUGCAGUGGGGUUCUCCCCUCUGUUUGACCUAGUCUAGGAGGAAGGACGGGCUAAGUUCGUGCCAGCCGCCGCGGUAA